GGGUCGGGGCUGGACACUCAGU
rnacentral:snRNA from 1 species